rnacentral:rRNA from 1 species
AUUGAACGCUGGCGGCAUGCCUUACACAUGCAAGUCGAACGGCAGCACGGGAGCAAUCCUGGUGGCGAGUGGCGAACGGGUGAGUAAUAUAUCGGAACGUGCCCAGUCGUGGGGAUAACGUAGCGAAAGCUACGCUAAUACCGCAUACGAUCUAUGGAUGAAAGCGGGGGAUCGCAAGACCUCGCGCGAUUGGAGCGGCCGAUAUCAGAUUAGGUAGUUGGUGAGGUAAAGGCUCACCAAGCCGACGAUCUGUAGCUGGUCUGAGAGGACGACCAGCCACACUGGGACUGAGACACGGCCCAGACUCCUACGGGAGGCAGCAGUGGGGAAUCUUAGACAAUGGGGGAAACCCUGAUCUAGCCAUGCCGCGUGAUCGAUGAAGGCCUUAGGGUUGUAAAGAUCUUUCAGUGGGGAAGAUAAUGACGGUACCCACAGAAGAAGCCCUGGCUAACUCCGUGCCAGCAGCCGCGGUAAAGUG